rnacentral:lncRNA from 1 species
UAAAAAGAAGUUUUCUGGAAAAUUCUGGUAACCAGAGAGAGGGUGGAAGGUUAAACUGCUGGAAGAAGAUUGUGGCUAAAUAAAGGUGCUGCGUGAGUGAGGCCUUAUUGGGGAAAACUGAACAAGGACCAUCUGUGCUCUACCUGCAUCUCUGCUUCCUAGUUGAUUUACAGAAUGAGAUUUCCACAGAUUCUCAAGCAAAUGCAACUCAUUCAAGUGUUCUAGAUCAAAGAGGCUCGGGAAGACGUGUUUCAAGUUUCUGAUAAUAAAAAAAUAUAAAUUUUCAGAAAAGUCCUGGG